rnacentral:rRNA from 1 species
GCGUGAGUGAAGAAGGCCCUUGGGUUGUAAAGCUCUUUUAUCUGCGAUGAUAAUGACAGUAGCAGAAGAAAAAGCCCCGGCUAACUCCGUGCCAGCAGCCGCGGUAAGACGGAGGGGGCUAGCGUUAUUCGGAAUGACUGGGCGUAAAGGGUGUGUAGGCGGCCUUUUAAGCAAGGUGUGAAAUCUCUGGGCUUAACCCAGAAAUGGCGCUUUGAACUAGAAGGCUAGAGUGCGAGAGAGGAAAGCGGAAUUCCUAGUGUAGGGGUGAAAUCCAU